UCCCGUUUCUUUCUUUUUUGAGACAAGGUCUCACUACAUAGCCCAGGUGAGCCUCAAACUCUUGGCAAUUCUUAGCCUCAGCCUCCUGAGUGCUGGGAUUACAGGCAUGCACCACCACAUCUGGCUUGGUUUUUUCUCUGUGUCUGUGUCCUAAUUCCCUUUUCCUAUGAGCACAGCAGUUUCAGUGGAUUAGGACCUGCCAUAUAAUCUCAUUUUAACUUAAUGAGCUCUUUACACACACUAUGUCCAAAUAGUCCCAUUCAGAAAUAGUAGGAACCCUGGGGGGACAUGUGGAUUUUAGGGAGAUGUAAAGGACAGCCCAUAACAGCAGAGCAGCAUUUUUGAACCCUCCAUCAUUGUUCAUAGGACUGUGAAUGUUUUAUAAAUAUUAAUAUUGGUAGUGCGGAGGUAUAGUAGUUAGAGUUCAUUUAAUCUUCAGCUUACAGAAACCCUGAAAUAACAGUGACUUUUAAAAAAGUUAAUAGAUUUACAAGACAGGGAGGGUUCUCAUAUUACUCCCACCACUGUGCUCCAUUUACCCUGUCAUUCACAGUGUAGUUGAUUAAAGUAAUGUACCAAUAUUGAUAGAUCACUGUUCAAUAAAGUCCAUAGUUUAUUGAGGGUUUUUUAGCUUUUACUUAAUAUCCUUUUCUCUAGAAUACUACAUUUCUUUUAGGAGUUCUUAAUUUUAAUAAGUUGCAACUUACCAACUUUGUCUUUCAUGCAUCAUGUUCUGGCAUUGUAUUUAAUAACUUUGUUUGUGUUUUGGGCACUGCUGGUUAUUAAACCCAGAGCCUAGGGCCAGGGAUUUAGCUCAGUGGUUUCGUCGCCUGCUGCGCAAGUGCAAGGACCUGAGCUUGAUCCCUGGUACCAAAAACAAAACAAAACAAAAAAACCCCAGAGCCUCGUAUGUGCCAUACUUUGCACUAUCACUGACCUACAUACCACCCUUCCCACUGUGUUUAAAAGCACAUCACCAAAUUCAAAGCCACCUGGAUUUUCUCCUAUGGUACCUUCUGGAAGUUUUAUUUAUCAAACUGGCGAUCUGCUAGUUUCUACCCAUCCUCCAGAAAUUCCCAUUCUGCUACGGCAACUCAGCAGCUCUUCAGCUUAUUGCUUGGCAUGGUUGCAGCAUUAUCUGUGCCUCUGAGUCUAUAUGUUUGAAAAGAGGGGACACCCAUAUUGUCUGUCUUGCCUGGCUAUGGUAAAAGAGAUGCUGAUGUGUAAAUGUGAUAGAAGCCAAUUAGCACGAAGGGAGAAAAAAGGAUAACUAGUGCUGAGGCCAACUCUAUGGCUUCUCUUCCCUGGCAGCUAAGCCAGACAGCACAGUGUUUCUGGAGAAAACCAAAGUGAUAGGUAAAGACAGACACCUCGUGUGUUAGUCAAGCGGGUUCUACCCAGAAGCCAUUAACAUAACAUGGGAGAAGUGGACCCAGAAGGUUCCCCAGUACCAAGGGAUUUCCAAGGACAUCUGUACUGGUCCCUCCAUCAAGAAUGAGGAUAGUGGGCUGGGGAUUUAGCUCAGUGGUUUCACCGCCUGCCGUGCAAGCGCAAGGACCCAAGUUUGAUCCCCUGUACCAAAAAAAUAAUAAUAAUAAUGAGGAUGGUAUAUUUAGCAUCAUCAGCUGCUUGAAACUCAGUGCCUGUCUGGAAGACAGUGGCACCAUCUACCAAUGUGUGGUGGGGCACACAUCCUUGAACGCCUCCCAGAGGCUGAACUUCACACUGCCUGUGAGAGGUAAGUGUCUUCUUAUUCUUCACCUUGGUUCCUGGGCAGUAUAAGGUUUUUGCUAGUGUUUGAUGGGGGAAAAGAGUAAGCUUGGGCUAAGGGAACAAUCUGGGAUCUGGCCCAGCUCAGCCCCAGUGGCAGCAGUCUGAGUUCAGUCCCUGUGCUGGGCAAAUGGUGUGGUAGGUGGAAAGGGGUGAAAAUAAUCAUUAGAUGGAAACAGGGCUACUUGUCGGCUCAUGGCAACCUCAGGGUGCCUGAUAGUUCAUGUGGCUUGGAGUGGGAGUCCUAUCCGCUGCCGGGGAAAUGAGGACAUACCCUGCUUGCAUCCCCUGAUGAUGAGGGCCUAUGGGAGCCAAGGACCAGCACCCCUUCUAGUCAGGUUCCAAGUCCACCAUAAACUGUUGUCUGGUAGAAGCAAAUCCAGGAGCUAUUUAUAGGCUCUGGUCCAAGACAAGGAGGCCCUACUGUUGUGAUCCUACAGAUGCCCACCACUCUCCACACAUAGCAGACCCUUAUUAUAACACAACUGCUUGCAGAGCUUUCUAUGCUAGGGCUUUUGGGGUUCAUAUCUGGGUUUCCCUGUUCAUGGCUGUGGUCUUGUGCAGGAGAUGACCCUGUUGGUCAAAUGUAUGUUCCUGAAAUGAGAGAAAUAAGGGAGGCAAUGGCCAACCAGGUGUCCUGGCAGGUGUGGUCAGGACAAGCCAGAUGGGGGUGUGGAUGAUCCUACAAGGAGAAAGGAAUUGUUCUUGAAUCAAGGGCUGGGCUAUGUGUGGGUAGCGUGUGUGGGGUAUGUGGGGCAUGGAGAGUGCACAUGGACCCCAUUGAAAUAUGCUUUGUGUGCAUGGUAGGAAGGCUUUGUCUGAGCGCUGUGGAUGUAAGUGGUAAGAGAUGGUGUGUUUGGGAAGUUGGGAAGACGUCUGUGGCGUGCGUAUGUGGGAUGUGGUGUUUAAUACUGUAUUUCUAGACAAGUGCUCAGUGCUCUGAUGUGGGAGAUGUGUGUGAAAGGAAUGGUGAUACUGAGACUUGUGGCUUGGGGUUGGUGGUUGGCUCUCUUGACAGGAAAAUGACAUGAAGCUCACACAUGUUAGCAGCAGCUGUUUUGUUUGUGGUGUCUUAGGUUUCUUCUUACUGUUCUCUUUUUCUCUGCAGAAGCUGAGAAGAUAGAUCUCUCUUGGAUUCUUAUUUUUUCUUCUUUUUGACUGAUUUUAAUAAUGCUUUUUUUCUUUUUGUAUAUUUGGAGAAGGUUCUAUUCAUAUAAGCCAGUAUCGAACAAUGGCAGUGAAGAAGUGUCUCGAGUAGACAUGGAGGCCACUCUCGAGGCCAAAGGCCCUCUGAGUUAGGCCACCCUGGGGCUUGGAGGAGCCAAAGGAAGUCGGCACAUCUGUCAAACAAAGAUCCCAAGAGAUGAGCAAUGUCCCAAAUGCAAUGGUUUAUUGAGCAUUUAUCACAUUCAUAGCAAGACAGAAGGGAUCGCACCGAUGGCAUCAGCUGGAAGCUGGAGGUGGUGCCGAUGGUACAGAAUCUUUCUUCCACCCGGCCAACAUGCCAUGAGGACACUGGGGGCCCGAUGGCGCUGGAACUUAUGGCAAUCCAGAGACCAGUACAGCUAGGGAACCAAGUGGGGCACUCUGGACCAGCAGAGUGACUGUCACAGACAGUUGCAGAGCUGGAGCGGCAGUUCCACGAGGAGCCAUGCUCAAGCAGAGUCCGCAAGCAUUGAGCCAGAAGACUGAGCUAAAGAGCCGCUGGAGGGUUUGGCUUUCAUGCAGUGGGGAGUUUGAAACAAGCAACAUGUUCUAAUCUUAUAUGUGUACAGAUAACAUGUGCUAAUCCUAUGGUGGUGAAAAAGAUAUUUUUCUUUAUGGUAAAACUAUAUUUUUGAAAGGGUUCACCGGAUAAGAUUUUUGGCAUACCGAUUUCAUGGUUAUUGCAAGCUAGUUUAGACUCAGAAAGUAAGUUUAAAGCAGACAGAAGCAUAAGAUGGCUUCCGUCCUGCUCACAUCAAGAAGGAACCACAGUGCCAACAGAAGACUCCAAUCCUUCACGUGUCUCUAAGUCCACGUCUGUUGCUGCAUAGCUUUGCAGUGCCCUCCAGUCCUGGGCAGUCCCUUGACACUGGGCUCAAACAUGUGCCUUGCUUCAUACAAGAAAGUGACUCCAGGCCAGUUCCCAGUUUAGGCCUCUUGUCUUCCUUUGGUGUCUUUGGUGCCUCUGACAUGAGAGAAGCAUGAAUCCAGGCCGGCCAGGAGGAGGAUGUGCAAUACAAGAAGCAGAGCCACAUCAUCCUAGGUGAAGUGACAACCAUUCAUCUCUGCUUAGGCAAGUGUAGCUGUAGUUAGAAGAGCUGACAGAGCCAACUGUAAAAACAAGAGAGAUAUAUAGUUUUAGUACCAGAAAUCGAACUCAGGACCUUGCACUUGCCAGGCAGAAAAGGCACCACUGAGCUACAUCCCCAGGCCUAGAAAAAUAUUUUUUAUUUAAAUGUUUAUUUUUAGACUGAUCUUGGUGGUGCAUGCCUGUAAACUCAGCACUUGGAAGGCUGAGGCAGGAAGAUCACUGAGAGUUCAAGGCCAGACUGGGCUACACAGAAUUACCCCCAAGUCCUGAUUGAACUCAGAACCUCAAGUUUGCCAGGCAGGUGCUGUGCCGCUGAGCUACAUCCCCAGCCCUUGUUGUGAACUUGUGAUUCCCCUUUGGAAUCUGCUUCCCAGAAACUCAAAGGGACCCAAAAAGGGACUGAGCAGUGUACUGAGGGACAUGGU